rnacentral:rRNA from 1 species
CCUUGGAACAGGAGGUCAUGGAGGGUGAGAACCCCGUCUGUGACUCGGGCUCCUACGGCCUAGCGUCGCGGUCUCCAAGAGUCGGGUUGUUUGGGAAUGCAGCUCAAAAUGGGUGGUAAAUCUCAUCUAAAGCUAAAUAUUGGCGAGAGACCGAUAGCAAACAAGUAGAGUGAUCGAAAGAUGAAAAGCACUUUGAAAAGAGAGUGAAACAGUACGUGAAAUUGUUGAAAGGGAAGCGUUUGGCAUCAGCCCAUGGCCUCCGACGAUCAUCCGGGCCUCGUGUCCGGUGCACUUGUCGGGGGUCGGGCCAGCAUCGGCUUCGUCCGCCGGAGAAAGGCCCAGAGGAUGUGGCUCCCCUCGUGGGAGCGUUAUAACUCUGGACGUCAUACGACGUGACGGGGCCGAGGUCCACGGUGUUCUCACCCAGGAUGCUGGCGUAAUGGUUCCAAGCGACCCGUCUUGAAACACGGACCAAGGAGUCUAACAUCUAUGCGAGUGUUUGGGUGUCAAGCCCGUCCGCGCAAUGAAAGUGAAUGCAGGCGGGAGCCUUUAGA